GACGAACGCUGGCGGCGUGCUUAACACAUGCAAGUCGAACGGAAAGGCCCUGCUUUUGUGGGGUGCUCGAGUGGCGAACGGGUGAGUAACACGUGAGUAACCUGCCCUUGACUUUGGGAUAACUUCAGGAAACUGGGGCUAAUACCGGAUCGGAGCUCCUGCUGCAUGGUGGGGGUUGGAAAGUUUCGGCGGUUGGGGAUGGACUCGCGGCUUAUCAGCUUGUUGGUGGGGUAGUGGCUUACCAAGGCUUUGACGGGUAGCCGGCCUGAGAGGGUGACCGGCCACAUUGGGACUGAGAUACGGCCCAGACUCCUACGGGAGGCAGCAGUGGGGAAUAUUGCACAAUGGGCGGAAGCCUGACGCAGCAACGCCGCGUGCGGGAUGACGGCCUUCGGGUUGUAAACCGCUUUCGCCUGUGACGAAGCGUGAGUGACGGUAAUGGGUAAAGAAGCACCGGCUAACUACGUG
rnacentral:rRNA from 1 species